CCUACGGGAGGCAGCAGUGAGGAAUAUUGGUCAAUGGGCGUAAGCCUGAACCAGCCAAGUCGCGUGAGGGAUGAAGGCUCUAUGGAUCGUAAACCUCUUUUAUAAGGGAAUAAAGUGUGGGACGUGUCCUAUUUUGUAUGUACCUUAUGAAUAAGGAUCGGCUAACUCCGUGCCAGCAGCCGCGGUAAUACGGAGGAUCCGAGCGUUAUCCGGAUUUAUUGGGUUUAAAGGGUGCGUAGGCGGCCUGUUAAGUCAGCGGUGAAAGUCUGUGGCUCAACCAUAGAAUUGCAGUUGAUACUGGGGGGCUUGAGGAUGUUUGAGGAAGGCGGAAUGCGUGGUGUAGCGGUGAAAUGCUUAGAUAUCACGAAGAACCCCGAUUGCGAAGGCAGCCUGCCAAGCCAUGACUGACGCUGAUGCACGAAAGCGUGGGGAUCAAACAGGAUUAGAUACCCCGGUAGUC
rnacentral:rRNA from 1 species